GUAGGUGAACCUGCGGAAGGAUCAUUAAUAAAAUGUCCCAUAAAUUUUAACAUUUCCCCUGCUCUUUGAUAUAUCCGUCUCGAGAGAGGUUGUGGUCUAUUGAAGGGUGUGGGGAGAUUAAUCACUUUUUGCCUGUUUUAUACUUUUUUGGGGGAAAUGGCGCAGGAGUUGUAGUAGCAUUUAUGUGAAAGUGACUCUUGUAAAUUUUGCUCAGAUUUGUAUGUAAAUGGGUAAUCUAAUUUACAAGAUG
rnacentral:misc_RNA from 1 species